AUCCUACGGGGGCAGCAGUGGGGAAUAUUGCUACAAUGGGCGCUAAGCCUGAUGCAGUCCAUGUCCGCGUGUAUGAAGUAAGGCCUUCGGGUUGUAAAGUACUUUCAGCAGUGAGGAAGGUGGGUAUGUUAAUAGCAUACUCAUUUGACGUUAGCUGCAGAAGAAGCACCGGCUAACUCCGUGCCAGCAGCCGCGGUAAUACGGAGGGUGCGAGCGUUAAUCGGAAUUACUGGGCGUAAAGCGCAUGCAGGUGGUUGUUAAGUCAGAUGUGAAAGCCCGGGGCUCAACCUCGGAAUUGCAUUUGAAACUGGCAAACUAGAGUACUGUAGAGGGGGUAGAAUUUCAGGUGUAGCGGUGAAAUGCGUAGAGAUCUGAAGGAAUACCGGUGGCGAAGGCGGCCCCCUGGACAGAUACUGACACUCAGACUGCGAAAGCGUGGGGAGCAAACAGGAUUAGAACCCUGGUAG
rnacentral:rRNA from 1 species